UGACUUAGUACGGCGAGUGAAGCGGCAAAAGCUCAAAUUUGAAAUCUGGUACCUUCGGUGCCCGAGUUGUAAUUUGGAGAGGGCAACUUUGGGGCCGUUCCUUGUCUAUGUUCCUUGGAACAGGACGUCAUAGAGGGUGAGAAUCCCGUGUGGCGAGGAGUGCGGUUCUUUGUAAAGUGCCUUCGAAGAGUCGAGUUGUUUGGGAAUGCAGCUCUAAGUGGGUGGUAAAUUCCAUCUAAAGCUAAAUAUUGGCGAGAGACCGAUAGCGAACAAGUACAGUGAUGGAAAGAUGAAAAGAACUUUGAAAAGAGAGUGAAAAAGUACGUGAAAUUGUUGAAAGGGAAGGGCAUUUGAUCAGACAUGGUGUUUUGUGCCCUCUGCUCCUUGUGGGUAGGGGAAUCUCGCAUUUCACUGGGCCAGCAUCAGUUUUGGUGGCAGGAUAAAUCCAUAGGAAUGUAGCUUGCCUCGGUAAGUAUUAUAGCCUGUGGGAAUACUGCCAGCUGGGACUGAGGACUGCGACGUAAGUCAAGGAUGCUGGCAUAAUGGUUAUAUGCCGCCCGUCUUGAACCCCCCGAAACAAA
rnacentral:rRNA from 1 species